CGCUGCGAAGCGCCGUAGGCAGGAGCGGGGGACCCAAGGUAGGCGCCGCACCGGGCAGUUGUCCGGAGCGGCUCGGGGUGAAGCCGUACGCCGCCCGCAAGGGGCGUACGGCCGGGCAACUCAACCGGCCCGAACCCGACAGCUCACCUCGCAGGCGUCGGUGAGGGGAUUU
rfam:Streptomyces sp. NRRL WC-3618 P435contig160.1, whole genome shotgun sequence.